rnacentral:lncRNA from 1 species
AGCUUCCGGAGCAGCUGGGACUGCUGGCGCCCGCCACUACGCUCGGCUAAUUUUUUUGUGUUUUUAGUAGAGACGGGCUUUCACCGUGUUGGCCUAGCGGUUCUCCAACUCCUGACCUCAUGAUCCCCCCGCCUCAGCCUCCCAAAGUGCUGGGAUUACAAGCGUGAGCCACCGCGACCCGCCAACACUCUUGACAACAGUGCUGUGCUAAGAACUUGGGGGACUUCAAAAAGUUCACCAGUUCCUGUGUCCAUGGGUGAAAAGAUUUUCUACAUCUUUCCUUGACUAGAAACAGAAGUCCUGAAACAAGGUACACCUUCUUGAGGCUUACUUGGUGAGUCUAAUUUGUCUUCUGGCACCACUGUGAAUUUGAAGGCUUACGUCUUCUUCCCUGAUCAUAUGUUUUCUACAUGUCAGGAAUAUAACGUCAGGAGGCCAGAGGCUUUGUCCUGCCUAAUGUGUUAUUUCCACACUGAAUAAAAGCACCUGAGUCCUGAAUUCUCCAAACACCACCUCACACAGUUUUGGAAUCUCUUUGUCUUCAUUUCCCAGAAUUUGGAAGAGUUCAUCUAGUAUCUCUGCAUUUUAAAAAGGUUGUACAUCUAGCAAUACCUAACAAAAUAGGAAAUCAACUUGGAAAGCCAAUGGCUGUGUUUUGAGUUUAUGGAGAGCCAUAUGUGGCAAGGAACUGAGGGUGGCAUCCAGGCAACAGACUUCAAGAAACUGAGGCUGUCAGUCCAACAACCCACAAGAACUGAAUCUGACCAACAAUCACAGGAACAAACUUAGAAGUAUACUCUUUCCCAGACAAACCUUCAGAUGAGACCACAGCCCCAGCCAUAAGCUUGAAAACAAUCUCAUGAGGGACCUUGAGCCACAGGCAUGUAGUAAAGCUAUGCCAGGAAUCCUGCCUGCCCCACAGAAAAUGUAAAAAAAAUAAAUUUUUAUUGUUUUAAGCCACGAAGUUUUGAAGUAAUUUGAUAUAAAAC